GAGACAAAUGUUAAAAAACAACAACAGAAAACCGUCAAUCGGUAAAUGAAGAAGUAGCACUACGUCUGAUGAGAGACGGAGAGAAAGAUUGAGAAGAUUUAAAAUACGGACGACUUCGAAAUCAUAAUAGAUACUUGGAACUACGGACACUUGGAUACUUAAAGACUAACAUUGGAAAACAAUAUAAAGAUCCUCUUUCCCCCGCACAAAGCUUUGAUGAUCACCCUUUGAAAAUAAAUGAAGAAAGAAGACGCUUCCCUUGUAUUUUGUACAUGGUACUGGAAUCCUGACUGGUUUUUGUUGUACCCCGAACAAAUCCCGUUGCCUUGCCCUGGAACUCUUGGAUACCUUCUGGAUUUCCCUCAUCGUCCUGGAUUUGGAUUCACCGUCGUCACCAUCUACAUCAACCUGCCCCUUCCUUUUGGACUGCCUGUUAGGCUACACAUCCCCUUACCCUUGUGAUUGUGGUAGGAUCUGGACAUUGCACUUUGCACAAGUUGGACUGAACCAUUUCCCCUUUUCAUUUAUUUUCUUUUCUUUAUUAUUUUCUUGAGUGCACUCACAUUUUGUUUUGGGUUGGGUUUUUGGGUUUUUAUUUUGUUUAAUUUAUAGUAUAUAAUAAUAUUGGAUAAUAAAUAUAAGACAAGAUAUUAGGUAAUAUAGUAUAAGGUUAGGAUAAUAUAUUAAUAGUAUUUAAAAAGGAAAAUACAAUUAGACUUAGAUAUUAAAUAGAACAAAAAUCUAAAGUAGUACAUGGAUAUAUAAAUACAAUAAAUAGAAUAUUAGAAUAGAACAUAUAAAAUAGUAUAAUAGAAUAGUAAACAGAUAUAACAUAAUACAUCUCUUUUAAUAUUGAUAUUGAAAUAACUUAAACUGAAUUGAAUGACUUUGACCUGUGAAAUAAACUAUAUAUUUUUAUUAUAAACUUUAUCCACGAGUGCGUGUGUUGUCUUUGGGGUGAGUACUAGAAUCUGGUCUAGUAAAAACCUACACCAAUAUCCACUGAACCUAGAUAUUAGACUAUAUAUUGUCCCUGCAAAAGUAUAGGCCAUUACCCUGUCGUGCAGGUUACACCCACAUUAGCCAAUGAAAGAAAAUACACGAAAAAACAAGCAAAUCAGAAAAAGCCCUGUGUGACGCCACAGGGAAAAUUGGUAAAAGUAUUUUGGGACAUACUAUAGAAGUACUAAUAACGUAAGUUAUGUCCAUAACUAUGGAUCUAUGAGACCGACCGAUGACCGUCUCCACGGUCUUAC